CCAGACUCCUACGGGAGGCAGCAGUGAGGAAUAUUGGUCAAUGGCCGGGAGGCUGAACCAGCCAAGUCGCGUGAGGGAGGACGGCCCUACGGGUUGUAAACCUCUUUUGUCAGGGAGCAAGGUGCAGGUCGUGACCUGUUGUGAGAGUACCUGAAGAAAAAGCAUCGGCUAACUCCGUGCCAGCAGCCGCGGUAAUACGUAGGUGGCAAGCGUUGUCCGGAAUUACUGGGUGUAAAGGGAGCGCAGGCGGGAAGCCAAGUCAGCUGUGAAAACUACGGGCUUAACUUGUAGACUGCAGUUGAAACUGGUUUUCUUGAGUGAAGUAGAGGUUGGCGGAAUUCCGAGUGUAGCGGUGAAAUGCGUAGAUAUUCGGAGGAACACCGGUGGCGAAGGCGGCCAACUGGGCUUUAACUGACGCUGAGGCUCGAAAGUGUGGGGAGCAAACAGGAUUAGAUACCCGAGUAU
rnacentral:rRNA from 1 species